rnacentral:rRNA from 1 species
UACGAAGGGGGCUAGCGUUGCUCGGAAUCACUGGGCGUAAAGCGCACGUAGGCGGAUUGUUAAGUCAGGGGUGAAAUCCUGGAGCUCAACUCCAGAACUGCCUUUGAUACUGGCGAUCUUGAGUCCGGGAGAGGUGAGUGGAACUGCGAGUGUAGAGGUGAAAUUCGUAGAUAUUCGCAAGAACACCAGUGGCGAAGGCGGCUCACUGGCCCGAUACUGACCGCUGAGGCACGAAAGCGUGGGGAGCAACAGG